rnacentral:lncRNA from 1 species
AUUUGGUAUUGUGGUUCAAGCUUUGCAUUAAGUCAGAUGUCGCGAAAAUAAAAGCUAAUAUGAAACAAUGGAUUUCUCAGUCAUAAGUAAAAGCUAAUAACCUCCAAGGGUUAGAUGCUAUCAUCUUCACUUGGUAAUUAGAACUUAAAAUGAAAUACUCCUUAUAUGCCCGUCUAUGAAAAUAGAUUUGUAUUUUGUUGGGGCUUGUUAUCACAAUUAUAUUGGGGCAUGUUAUCAUAAUUAUAUUCUGCGACCGAUGUUCCUUAGAAGAAGCUAUACCAUCUCUCAAUUGUAGGGUAAAAUAGAUCAUCCAUUCCUUGUAUUGUGAAAAUUCAUAAUGUUCUUUGUCGUAUUUUUCCUUUUAUUUUGGCCUUGGUGCUUGUUCCUAAUGGAUUUCACUAAGGAAGCAAGUCUAGCAUCAUCAUCUCCAAAAAUAAGGAUUUGUAUUUUGUAAGACAUUGUUACAUAUGAAGGUAUAUCGUUGGGGCUUGUUAUCUUUGGUAAUUAUAUUCUAUGACCGAUGUUCCUUAGAGAAGCUAUUACCAUCUCUCAAUUGUAUGGU